ensembl:lncRNA NR2F1-AS1 NR2F1 antisense RNA 1
GGGAGUCGGCGACCGCUUAGUGACGAGCGAUGAUUUUAAAGAGCAGAAUAAAAGGUUUUCCCGUGCCUGCCCCACAGCCCCUCCAGCUCGAAUAAUGGAGAACUGUCAAUGCACUCCGCGAGCGGUGGCCCAUUGUACGCAGCUGAUGGCGAGGAGGCGACUGGGGGUAGCAGGGGCUCCUUGCCCUCGUCCCUAUGCCCAAAUAAACGCGCAAACGCGCUCCCGUCUUCUGGUCAGUUAAAAGGUGAAACGAACACGAUUAAAAUAGACCAAAAGAAAAGAAAGAAAAGAAAACCUUUCUAUGUACAGAUUCUAAAUCGUACUCCCCAUACAGUCAGAGGCAGGGAGUCGAGGGCAGAGGCAGCAGGCGGAGAGAGGGAGAUAGGGCGAGGGAAGGAGAACGCGGAGAGAGACGAAGGGAGUGGGAGACCAGCGACAGCGAGCGCCAGGGCACCGCAGGCACACUGGAUGCCCAGUCCGCCGGCCCAGCCGCCCUCGGACCCUGGACCGUGCGUCGUGGGCACCAGAAACGAGACUCGGCCAAAUCCUGCCUCACCAGCAGGUAGAUGAAACUCAAGAGAAAAGGUGUGGAUAAAUGAAACUAGCCCAUGAUGAACCUGUUUUCUCCGUGACCACAAUAUUAACCAGGAUGAAUGGCGGUGGCAGUGGGCCUGCAUCACAGGUUGCAGCAGAUGUUCUCAAUAUUUCUAUUAAAAUUUCCUUAUUUCCAUAUGCAAGAGGAGCCCCAGAGCUGCAUCCUUAUGGUAGCUACCAUGCCGUGAUGUAAGCUGCCAUUCACUGGGGAGCUUUGGCAAUAGAAUUGGCUAGAUCAGGAAGCCUAUGUCAACUAUGGAACAACAACUUGCAGCUCAUCUCUAUUGAUGAUGGAAUCUCGCUAUGUCACCAGGCUGGAGUGCAGUGGCGCAACCUCGGCUCAGCGCAACAUCCGCCUCCCGGGUUCAAGUGAUUCUCCUACCUCAGCCUCCUGAGUAGCUGGGAUUACAGGAAUCUAAUGACCAUUGAACUGUGGCCAUGACUUCAAUUACAAGUGAAACAGUCGCAAAUGGAAUUCCAAGAAACAUUCUAUCUAAGGAGAGGCCCCGGAUCAGGACAGCAGUUUCCUCAGACGUGAUGUGGUGCCCCUUGCAUCCUGCUCAGAGAAUUCUCAGCAGCACAGAUCCACUUCAAGGAAACACUGACUUGAAAACUCUCCCCCAUGGUUUUGUCUGAACUGGCUGCCAUUCUGCAGCACACACCAGAUCCAAUUGCUGGAGUCGGGAACCCGAGAGGAGAACCAAUCUCAGCGGCAUCCAGUGUCGGCAGCCAAGAUGGUUAGCUUUGUGCUGGGGACAAUGGAGCGGCCCUGGGGGAAGCAGAGCUGGAAGGCCUCCUCGGAGGAGCUUGACUUGCAGGAGGCUGAUUUGCAUGAUAAUCACCAUCAUGGAUCCUCCCUGGUGCCAGCCUCCACACUUAACCAAAUGCAGUAUAACUUUCAUAGCAGCUGAAAAGCCCGAGUAGGGGCUGUAGCACACAUUUUGCAAAGCCUGGAUGACGUCAAAAACUGCUAGUGAAGAGGGGGCAGCUGGUUGUAAAGCUAAACCACACCGAGGAAUGGAGACUUGGAACAUAACCUUAAAACCUGAUAAAGAAUAUAACUUUGGGGACUGUUGAAAAAUACGAAGCUUUUCCCUCUUUUUUUUUUUUUUAACUCAAAAGAAUCUGUUUACCAGAAGAAGCCUUUUCUUACUGGAACUUCUGAAGCUGUUGAAACCAUGGCAUGAAAAUAGAUCAGUGGAAACACAGAAACAUUUCCAGUGCAGACAUUUCGGUCUCCAUCAGUUAAAAGUAUGGAGCCAGACUUGUAGACUAGGAAUCUUCCCACCAAUCCUUGGUCUGUUUGAUUUUACUUUAUACUGCAUUGUGAUUUGGGGCAUAUGGUAGAAUGGUAGCCAGAAUUGCAAUGAAAAAUUGCACAGAGCCAGUCAAGCUUAAAUCACUCAAAGUUUCUUAUGAAAAACUUUAUUCCUUAGGGCUCCCAGGGACAAAGGAGCAUGUAAAUCAACUGAUGUUAUGAAGCAUGAUUUUGGAUAAUAUGGAGAGUAUGUACAUAUCAAUAC